CUUGUACUCCCUCCGUCCGAAAAUACUUGUCAUUGAAAUGGAUGUAUCUAGAUGUAUUUUAGUUCUAGACACAUCCAUUUUGAUGACAAGUAAUUCCGGACGAGGGGAGUACUUG
rfam:Triticum aestivum genome assembly, contig: Triticum_aestivum_CS42_TGACv1_scaffold_354732_4DL